ACUCAUCCUUUCACAUCUAAUUUUCAUGUCUGGGUUGUUUCUAGGGUAAUAGUAGGAUGUAAUAGUAGGUAAAUAGUAGAUGUAAUAGUAGGUAAAAGUAGAAUAUUUGUGCAGUGCUGAGCAGGAUGGGGAUCCUCUGUGAUUGCAGGAUCCUGCCUCUAAACAUUGCUCCUGACACAGCUCCUGUGAUCUUCCCUUGAACCAGGUCGACAUGUAAAGCCAGAUGUGGGGCACCUAACUGCUCUUUAGCCAGAUGUUCUUCUGCUAAAAUCUGCUGAUGAGCACAAGCACCACCGUGAGCUGGUGAGCUUGCUGUUGUGUUUAACAGGACGCAGAAGUCAUGAUUUUCUUUCCCUGUCGCCCAGUGAAGCUGGCAGACUCCGCUCACUGAAAAUAUUGUAUUUGGAUAUCAAACCUGA
rnacentral:lncRNA from 1 species